rnacentral:lncRNA from 1 species
GUCAGUAGUCAUGAUUCUGACCAAGUGGAAUGCUGUUGGAGAAUGGAGGCGAAUGAUGGGCCCAGUAGACCCAGAAGAAGCAAAACUGCUGUCUCCAAAUUCCCUCCGAGCCAGAUAUGGAAUAGACGUUUUGAGAAAUGCUGUCCAUGGGGCAUCUAACAUGUCUGAAGCAGCAACUGCCAUUAGUAAUGUGUUCACAGAGAGCAAUUUUGAGAACUAGGACAAAUACUAGAAAACUCAAUGAGAUAAUGAAGAAGUUUCAUCACAUAAAACCAUGAGGCACAACUUCCUGUAAAGAGUAAGAACAAAAAUUUCUCCAAGAGAAACACACAUGGAGAUGAAAACUCGCAUGGCUAUGCAUGGUAACAAUAAAAACUGUAACCCCCCAA